rnacentral:sRNA from 1 species
UGAAAAUUAAACGAUGUAAGCCCUACCUCUCAAACAUUCUUACGGCUCCGAAGCCGAUCCAGGUGAAUAAUUCCUUAACUAAACAA